AUUGAACGCUGGCGGCAUGCUUUACACAUGCAAGUCGAACGGUAACAGGGUGCUUGCACCGCUGACGAGUGGCGAACGGGUGAGUAAUGCGUCGGAACGUGCCGAGUAGUGGGGGAUAACGCAUCGAAAGGUGUGCUAAUACCGCAUACGUACUGAGGUAGAAAGUGGGGGACCUUCGGGCCUCACGCUAUUCGAGCGGCCGACGUCUGAUUAGCAAGUUGGUGAGGUAAAGGCUCACCAAGGCAACAAUCAGUAGCGGGUCUGAGAGGAUGAUCCGCAACACUGGAGCUGCGACACGGCCCAGGCUGCUACGGGAGGCAGCAGUGGGGAAGUUUGGACAAUGGGCGCAAGCCUGAUCCAGCCAUGCCGCGUGUCUGAAGAAGGCCUUCGGGUUGUAAAGGACUUUUGUCCGGGAGCAAAUGCCUGGUGUUAAUAGCACUGGGAGCUGAGAGUACCGGAAGAAUAAGCACCGGCUAACUCUGUGCCAGCAGCCGCCGUAACAC
rnacentral:rRNA from 1 species